rnacentral:rRNA from 1 species
CAGUAGCCGCGGGAAUACGUAAGGACCGAGCGUUGUCCGGAAUCAUUGGGCGUAAAGGGUACGUAGGCGGCUAGAAAAGUUAGAAGUCAAAGGCUAUAGCUCAACUAUAGUAAGCUUCUAAGACUAUUUAGCUUGAGAAAUGGAAGGGAAAGUGGAAUUCCUAGUGUAGCGGUGGAAUGCGCAGAUAUUAGGAAGAAUACCGGUGGCGAAGGCGACUUUCUGGCCAUUAUCUGACGCUGAGGUACGAAAGCGUGGGUAGCAAACAGGAUUAGAUACCCGGGUAGUCCCUGUCUCUUAUACA